UAAUAAGGGUAACUGGAUGCCCUAAUGGUUGUGUCAAACCUUAUAUGGCUGAGCUUGGACUGGUUAGCGAUGGACCCAAUAUGUACUAGGUUUGGCUCGAGGGAACGCCUAACCAAACCUCACUAGCAAAAUGUUUCAUGAAUAAGGUGAAGAUUUAUGAUCUAGAAAAGGUUUUGGAGCCAUUGUUCUACAACUGGAGGCGCAAAUGCCAACAGGGAGAAUCUUUCAGCGAUUUCACAACCUGCCUGGCUUUGACAAACUGAAAGAGACAGUUGAGAAGUGGGAGGGCAUAGCAAAGGCACCGGCACGAUUUAAUCUAAAGCUUUUUGCUGAUAAAGACACAUAUGAAGCCAUGGAUGAAGUUGCAAAGCUGCAGAACAAGACUACUCACCAGCUGGCCAUGGAAGUCAUCUGCAACUGAAAUGAAAGUGUUUCUCUUGCCUUGCUUCAAUCUGAGGUAGCUAUAUGAGGCCAGAGAAUGGUUCUUGGUUCACUAUUGUUGAAUGGUCUUGUAACUCUUCACCAUUAGUACAUGAAGCUUCAUCUUCCACUGAAAGAUCUGCCAGCUCCAGAAACUGAUUGAUUACUGUAGGAUCUUUCGACUCAGAUCCAUCAAAUGAGACCAUGUGAUUUUGUUGAACAGUAGUAGCAUAGGAAUCAUCAUAGGUAUCCCCAACACCAGAAUCUUGCAUUUCCUUUUCCAGAAUCUUUUGACUUAGAUCCAUCAAAUGAGACCAUGUGAUUGUAAUUGAAUGAAUGA